rnacentral:tRNA from 1 species
GGGGCUGUAGCUCAGUGGUAGAGCACUUGCCUAGCAUGCACUAGGCAAGUGAGGCACUGGGUUCGAUCCUCAGCACCUCA